GUUGCCCCUAGAGGCCUUGCAUGUUUGGCUACUGUGUCAUAUGUGCAUCAGUAUCUGGGAGAGAGUAGAGAAGUUAUGUCUAAACUCAGUGUUCUGACCUGUGAUCAUGUCGAUGAUUAAUAUUAACACU
ensembl:snoRNA LOC120097254 small nucleolar RNA SNORA17